UAACGGGGCUAAACCAUGCACCGAAGCUGCGGCAGCGACGCUGAUGCGUUGUUGGGUAGGGGAGCGUUCUGUAAGCCUGUGAAGGUGGCCUGUGAGGGUUGCUGGAGGUAUCAGAAGUGCGAAUGCUGACAUAAGUAACGAUAAAGCGGGUGAAAAGCCCGCUCGCCGGAAGACCAAGGGUUCCUGUCCAACGUUAAUCGGGGCAGGGUGAGUCGACCCCUAAGGCGAGGCCGAAAGGCGUAGUCGAUGGGAAACGGGUUAAUAUUCCCGUACUUGGUGUUACUGCGAAGGGGGGACGGAGAAGGCUAUGUUGGCCGGGCGACGGUUGUCCCGGUUUAAGCGUGUAGGUGUGUGUUCCAGGUAAAUCCGGUUCACUUUAACACUGAGGCGUGAUGACGAGGCACUACGGUGCUGAAGCAACAAAUGCCCUGCUUCCAGGAAAAGCCUCUAAGCAUCAGGUAACAUCAAAUCGUACCCCAAACCGACACAGGUGGUCAGGUAGAGAAUACCAAGGCGCUUGAGAGAACUCGGGUGAAGGAACUAGGCAAAAUGGUGCCGUAACUUCGGGAGAAGGCACGCUGACACGUAGGUGAAGUGAUUUACUCAUGGAGCUGAAGUCAGUCGAAGAUACCAGCUGGCUGCAACUGUUUAUUAAAAACACAGCACUGUGCAAACACGAAAGUGGACGUAUACGGUGUGACGCCUGCCCGGUGCCGGAAGGUUAAUUGAUGGGGUCAGCGCAAGCGAAGCUCCUGAUCGAAGCCCCGGUAAACGGCGGCCGUAACUAUAACGGUCCUAAGGUAGCGAAAUUCCUUGUCGGGUAAGUUCCGACCUGCACGAAUGGCGUAAUGAUGGCCAGGCUGUCUCCACCCGAGACUCAGUGAAAUUGAACUCGCUGUGAAGAUGCAGUGUACCCGCGGCAAGACGGAAAGACCCCGUGAACCUUUACUAUAGCUUGACACUGAACAUUGAGCCUUGAUGUGUAGGAUAGGUGGGAGGCUUUGAAGUGUGGACGCCAGUCUGCAUGGAGCCGGCCUUGAAAUACCACCCUUUAAUGUUUGAUGUUCUAACGUGGACCCGUGAUCCGGGUUGCGGACAGUGUCUGGUGGGUAGUUUGACUGGGGCGGUCUCCUCCUAAAGAGUAACGGAGGAGCACGAAGGUUGGCUAAUCCUGGUCGGACAUCAGGAGGUUAGUGCAAUGGCAUAAGCCAGCUUGACUGCGAGCGUGACGGCGCGAGCAGGUGCGAAAGCAGGUCAUAGUGAUCCGGUGGUUCUGAAUGGAAGGGCCAUCGCUCAACGGAUAAAAGGUACUCCGGGGAUAACAGGCUGAUACCGCCCAAGAGUUCAUAUCGACGGCGGUGUUUGGCACCUCGAUGUCGGCUCAUCACAUCCUGGGGCUGAAGUAGGUCCCAAGGGUAUGGCUGUUCGCCAUUUAAAGUGGUACGCGAGCUGGGUUUAGAACGUCGUGAGACAGUUCGGUCCCUAUCUGCCGUGGGCGCUGGAGAACUGAGGGGGGCUGCUCCUAGUACGAGAGGACCGGAGUGGACGCAUCACUGGUGUUCGGGUUGUCAUGCCAAUGGCACUGCCCGGUAGCUAAAUGCGGAAGAGAUAAGUGCUGAAAGCAUCUAAGCACGAAACUUGCCCCGA
rnacentral:rRNA from 1 species